GCCAGAGGUGAGUGGAACUAAACUUAUGACUUUUAAUUGAACCACAAACUGCUUUUAGCAUAUCUCAUGCAUCAUGUUUAUGCCAUAGGUUGAUUGCAUUAGUAUUCACGAAUAUGUUGCAUUGCAUCGUUAUUUGGUGAUGUGAGUGAAUGCUGAAUGAUCCAAUAGUCUCAGACAGGAAGUCCAGGAGCCUUUGACUACGCCCUGGCAGGUAUAGCAAAGUCCAG
rnacentral:lncRNA from 1 species